UUGAGACUCAAAAUUCCUCAAGGUGUCGUGCCAACAAGUGACUGUCCGCCGAAAAAACUGUUUGUAGGCUAUUUCACUUGCCAGAAAGUGAUUGAAGAGACUGUGCAAUACAGCUCCAGCAGACGGCAAUCGGCGGACGAUCGCUGACAUUCAUCAUGAACUUUGGCUUUAAAACUUCAUACAACAAGACCCAAACAAAGAAGCGGUGAACGCAAAAUAGGUAACCUGUGUUGCAGUGUGGAUCAUUGGUGACAGCUAUGUACAGCAUGGUGGCCAGAGAGCUUUGGAAGCAUCUUCACCCUACCAGAUGUCUCUUGGUCUGCCUUGCUUCUCCCCUUCUUUGCCCCUCCCUGUGACUGUGGCGGCAGCAGCAUGGGGGACGUCAGCAGCAGGAAGCUGGUCAACAUGAUGGAGGACCUGCACCAGCUUUACCUCCAGCAC